UACGGAGGGGGCUAGCGUUGUUCGGAAUUACUGGGCGUAAAGCGCACGUAGGCGGUUUUGUAAGUUAGAGGUGAAAGCCCAGGGCUUAACCCUGGAAUUGCCUUUAAGACUGCAUCGCUCGAAUUGUGGAGAGGUGAGUGGAAUUCCGAGUGUAGAGGUGAAAUUCGUAGAUAUUCGGAAGAACACCAGUGGCGAAGGCGACUCACUGGACACGUAUUGACGCUGAGGUGCGAAAGCGUGGGGAGCAAACAGG
rnacentral:rRNA from 1 species